rnacentral:misc_RNA from 1 species
UUUUUUUUAAUACAAAAAUAUUAACUCUCAUAUAUAUUGACAAAAUGAGAAGAGUACAAUAACCGGAAGCAAACAAAUUUUGCAAUGAACGACAGAGGUAAAGAAAGAUUUCAUUGCAAUGGUUAAGAGAAAGUUGAUUGAAUCAACUAACAUCAAGUUGAUUGAAUCAGCUAACAUCCUUGAGCCUUUUUAUCCAAGCAUCCAGAGAUUUCUUCUUCGGAUUC